rnacentral:rRNA from 1 species
GUGAGGAAUAUUGGACAAUGGGUUAGCGCCUGAUCCAGCCAUCCCGCGUGAAGGACGACUGCCCUAUGGGUUGUAAACUUCUUUUGUAUAGGGAUAAACCUACUCUCGUGAGAGUAGCUGAAGGUACUAUACGAAUAAGCACCGGCUAACUCCGUGCCAGCAGCCGCGGUAAUACGGAGGGUGCAAGCGUUAUCCGGAUUUAUUGGGUUUAAAGGGUCCGUAGGCGGAUCUGUAAGUCAGUGGUGAAAUCUCACAGCUUAACUGUGAAACUGCCAUUGAUACUGCAGGUCUUGAGUAAAUUUGAAGUGGCUGGAAUAAGUAGUGUAGCGGUGAAAUGCAUAGAUAUUACUUAGAACACCAAUUGCGAAGGCAGGUCACUAAGAUUUAACUGACGCUGAUGGACGAAAGCGUGGGGAGCGA